rnacentral:rRNA from 1 species
GACAGAGGGUGCAAACGUUGUUCGGAAUUAUUGGGCGUAAAGAGCUCGUAGGCGGUCUGUCGCGUCGGAUGUGAAAAUCCAGGGCUCAACCCUGGACCUGCAUUCGAUACGGGCAGACUAGAGUUCGGUAGGGGAGACUGGAAUUCCUGGUGUAGCGGUGAAAUGCGCAGAUAUCAGGAGGAACACCGGUGGCGAAGGCGGGUCUCUGGGCCGAAACUGACGCUGAGGAGCGAAAGCGUGGGGAGCGAACAGG